rnacentral:rRNA from 1 species
ACGGGUGAGUAAUACAUCGGAACGUAUCCUGGAGUGGGGGAUAGCCCGGCGGAAGCCGGAUUAAUACCGCAUACGCUCUGAGGAGGAAAGCGGGGGACCUUCGGGCCUCGCGCUCAAGGGGCGGCCGAUGGCGGAUUAGGUAGUUGGUGGGGUAAAGGCCUACCAAGCCGACGAUCCGUAGCUGGUCUGAGAGGACGACCAGCCACACUGGGACUGAGACACGGCCCAGACUCCUACGGGAGGCAGCAGUGGGGAAUUUUGGACAAUGGGGGCAACCCUGAUCCAGCAAUGCCGCGUGUGUGAAGAAGGCCUUCGGGUUGUAAAGCACUUUUGUCCGGAAAGAAAUCGUCGGGGCCAAUACCCCUGGUGGAUGACGGUACCGGAAGAAUAAGCACCGGCUAACUACGUGCCAGCAGCCGCGGUAAUACGUAGGGUGCGAGCGUUAAUCGGAAUUACUGGGCGUAAAGCGUGCGCAGGCGGUGCUGUAAGACCGAUGUGAAAUCCCCGGGCUUAACCUGGGAACUGCAUUGGUGACUGCAGCGCUGGAGUAUGGCAGAGGGGGGUGGAAUUCCACGU